rnacentral:pre_miRNA from 1 species
UAGGUAGUUUCAUGUUGUUGGGAAUGUGUCCAAAUACUCGACAGCAGGAAACUGCCCGCA